AACGAACGCUGGCGGCAUGCCUAACACAUGCAAGUCGAACGAGACCUUCGGGUCUAGUUGCGCACGGGUGCGUAACGCGUGGGAACCUGCCCUUAGGUUCGGAAUAACUCCCCGAAAGGGGUGCUAAUACCGGAUAAUGUCUUCGGACCAAAGAUUUAUCGCCCUUGGAUGGGCCCGCGUUGGUUUAGCUAGUUGGUAGGGUAAAAGCCUACCAAGGCGACGAUCCAUAGCUGGUCUGAGAGGAUGAUCAGCCACACUGGGACUGGGAAACGGCCCAGACUCCUACGGGAGGGAGCAGUGGGGGAUAUUGGACAAUGGGCGAAAGCCUGAUCCAGCAAUGGCGCGUGAGUGAUGAAGGCCUUAGGGUUGUAAAGCUCUUUUACCCGGGAUGAUAAUGACAGUACCGGGAGAAUAAGCUCCGGCUAACUCCGUG
rnacentral:rRNA from 1 species